AGAAGGUUUGUAUGGGUAAGGCUGAGAGGUGAAAAUUUAGUUUUGUAGGUGUGAUUGAUGCUGUAUUGGGUGAGUAAUUUGUAGGAGGUGAACCAGUAUGAUAUCCAGAGUCUGGAGAGUUAUAUAAGUUUAGGAGGACUUCUUGGCCAUUGAAGGAUGAAGACCAAGUUGGUUUAUCGAGAUUGAACAAUGAUAUUGAGUGAAGAACAGUUGUAGGAAAGUUGAAGGUUGCUCACUAAUGUUGAAGGAGUUGAUAAUUUGGACAGCUUCAUAUGG